CGCACGGUAAAAAAGAAAAAAAAAAGAAACGAAAGAAGAAGAUAAGGCAGGAAAGACUCUCGCGUCUUCUCUCUUGUCCCUUCGCUUUCGCCUUCCUGCGAGUUCCACGGUGCGCCUCUGAGCUCCUCAAGCCCCUAGGGUUGCCGCAUUUCUGCGAUCUAGUGCUUUCCCCGCGUGACGAAAAGGAGUUUUAUUUCACCUAUACUAUGGUUGCCUGGUCGCUUUACACGUGAUGUUGUUUAUAUCUUCGGCUCUUUUUUCCCCACCCUGGUUGACACCACAUGAAGUGAUUAUCGUUUUUUGCUACUUUUGACUGGCUGGAUCUACAGAUACCUCCCCCCCUUUUUUUGGAUUUCUGCUUCCCUCGUCGGCAACAUCGACAUCGCCUGCCUUGUUCUUCCCCCUUCCUCACCCCCCCCCCCCCCCGUUCUCUACACAUGAAUAUUCUUUCUUUGGUCUGUCACUUUGAUUGUUUUGCUUAGUUCCUGCUCUUGUAUUUCUUUGUUGGUUUCCCCCUGGAGCUGUUGGGUCCAUGCGGAUUGCUAUCAUUGUCUAUUUGCUUUUUUAGGCGGGAUCUAUGGUUUUGUUGUUACUUCGGUUAGGUCUAUGGAUUUUUUCCCUUGCUUUUCUCCGUUGCUCACGUUUGCUGUCAUGCUUUCUAAUCUACCUGGUACAACAAUGGGAUGUGGUUCUUGCUUUGCCCUCCUGCACCCGCUCGGCCAUUCUUCCUGAUCGUCCAUGUAGAUGAAGGAGGGGGGAAAAAGGCAGAAACUGGGCCUACUCCGUGAUUUGUUGGUUUUCUUUCGGGUUAUUUUUUACCUGAUCAUCUGGGCAGAGGAAGGAAAGGGGGGAAAAUAGACGAAAUUUGGACUUAAUCUAUGAUGGGUAGAGGAAGGAAAGGGGGGAAAAUAGACCAAAUUUGGACUUAAUCUAUGAUUUGUUGGUUUCCUUCUGUUUUUUUAUUCGGUUCAAAUCUACGAUUUGUUGGUUUCCUUGCAUUUUUCUUGCAGUGAUGGACAACCAAAAGGGAUUGGUUACGACCUGCUUCCAUUCGGUGCAUUUAGUACAUCAUUAUUAGUGUUUUUGCUUUCUCCCCCCCCCCCCCCCCAUAGGGGAAAAACAGGGGGAAAACACACACACACCCGCACAGAGGAUGGCCGCCAUUGUUUGCUCAUUGUAGCAAUGUGAGACUAUUGCUUUUAAUUGUUUCCCCUUUUUCCCCUUUUUGCUCCAGGUUAAGUUUUGUCCCCGGCUUGUGACAUCGCUUGAUCAUGAAGUACUCUGCAGGGUUCCACUGUAUCAUCGCAUCAAUGCAGCCCCAUGCAAUUCAAGCGUACCAGGACAGUGAUCCUUCACCGUCAUCUUCAUCUACACACCACACGUGAUCUAGGCAUGGACGUCGCAGAGGUCGAAGUGGUGCUGCAGGUGAUUCUGUGCAUCACUCACCUUUAGUUAUGAACCCAGCUGAGUGUUGAUGCAAGCAGCGGAGAUUAUUAGAUCAGCAAAGAUUGGCGCUAACAGCAACACUAAAUGGUAAUAGAAUAUCGCUAGAAUGUGGCCACUUCAACCAAGAUUACAUCGACGCUCUAAAAGAAGAUUCAAUUAUGCUGCAACAUCACAGAACUCAAUAUGUUGCUGUCCAAAAUCACAUUAUACCAUGUUGCAUUACUACUCACUAAGAGAUGGACACUAUUUUGGAUGCAAUCAUCCAUAUGAACUGCAAGAUGCCAUUUGAUCUGCUCCCAAUGUUGCAUCCAAAGUCUAAACAAUGGACAAUCGACGCGUGUCAUGCAAGUGGGAAUACCGUGGUGGCACCGACGAUGGGCCAAUAGCCCAUAUUGACCUUGUUCUCGCAAACGAACAGGGUAAUGCCAUAUAUGCUGAAAUACCAAACUCAGAAACAAAAAUGAAUGACACUUUGCUUGAAGAAGGUGGUAUCUACAUUAUGAGCCGCUUUAGAGUCUACAAUUGUAAAUCCCUAUACAGGCCAGUCGAUGCACCUUAUAUGAUUGAAAUUACUUGCUACACCAAGAUAACUCCAGCAAGAGAUCCACCAGAAACAUUCCCAAGAUAUGUCUACAAACUCACACCCUUUGUUGAACUACCUCAGUAUGCCGGUGAAAACAAGAAUUU